rnacentral:lncRNA from 1 species
UCGAGAAGAAAAAUAAAAAGAGAAACAUGAAAGAGAACCUCACAAAUAAGUCCAAGUCGACACUGUUAUUAAUCAAAUUCGACAAUCUGUAAGACUCCUAAAUAAAAAGCUCGCAUAUAUUCCCAUAACGAAUAUGUAUGACCAUGAACUCAAAUGAAAAAAGGGAAAACAAAACCUCCAAAAACCAAUAAUUUAGAGCCAAUCACGUACAAAACAAAAACGAGAAAAAAUAAGACUAACCACAACUCUACAAACUACAGUAAAGGCGACUGUUAUUCCAAUCCUCCCCCUCAUUUGACCGAUUCGAACAAAGCGGUCAUUGAGGCAUCCUAGGACUUUUGAUACACUUUUGGACCUUGCUCAUUGUCCUUUUAGCAUAUGAGAAGCCAAAGGAGCCUAAGAGGUAGCUCUGCUAGCGACGUUGCUAGCUCAACAAUUAAGACACCAUCCAGUGGUAAUAACAAAUAAAAUACAUGUCAAGUAACAACUAUGAAUCAAACAACAUCAGGCUCAAACAAUUGAACACAAUCAAAGAAACAAUCUUUG